CGACUUAUUUAUAAUAAUGCAGCGGAAAUAAACUCAUAAGGAAAUUAAAUUGUCUGAAAAAUUCAAAUUAACAAGGUUUUAGAAAUAGACAUCACGGUUCAAUUAAAAAUCUUUAAAACAAUAAAACAACUAAAUUAAAACUUAGAGUUUCCCCAUAGGACUUCCUAGCAGAGCGACUCAAUUUAUUAAAAACGGGAAAGGAAGACAACUCCUAAUGCCAUCUCCGGACUCUCAGCUAAGCAUCAUUGUUACCUGAAAAUCUACGAUUGCACAUCGUAGGGUCAAA
rnacentral:lncRNA from 1 species